rnacentral:rRNA from 1 species
AGUCGAGGGGUAUAGUUCUUCGGAGCUAGAGACCGGCGCACGGGUGCGUAACGCGUAUGCAAUCUACCUUUUACAGAGGGAUAGCCCAGAGAAAUUUGGAUUAAUACCUCAUAGUAUAAUGACUCGGCAUCGAGAUAUUAUUAAAGUCACAACGGUAAAAGAUGAGCAUGCGUCCCAUUAGCUAGUUGGUAAGGUAACGGCUUACCAAGGCUACGAUGGGUAGGGGUCCUGAGAGGGAGAUCCCCCACACUGGUACUGAGACACGGACCAGACUCCUACGGGAGGCAGCAGUGAGGAAUAUUGGACAAUGGGCGCAAGCCUGAUCCAGCCAUGCCGCGUGCAGGAUGACGGUCCUAUGGAUUGUAAACUGCUUUUGUACGAGAAGAAACACUCCGACGUGUCGGAGCUUGACGGUAUCGUAAGAAUAAGGAUCGGCUAACUCCGUGCCAGCAGCCGCGGUAAUACGGAGGAUCCAAGCGUUAUCCGGAAUCAUUGGGUUUAAAGGGUCCGUAGGCGGUUUAAUAAGUCAGUGGUGAAAGCCCAUCGCUCAACGGUGGAACGGCCAUUGAUACUGUUAAACUUGAAUUAUUAGGAAGUAACUAGAAUAUGUAGUGUAGCGGUGAAAUGCUUAGAGAUUACAUGGAAAUACCAUUGCGAAGGCAGGUUACUACUAAUGGAUUGACGCUGAUGG